UGCUAUCCAUAGUUUCUCUAAUUAGCUUCUCGGCUAGAACAAGCUCUCCGCCAGAAGUAAUGGUGUCAAUCAAGCAUCUUCCACUGAUCUCGCUCACAGCAUCUCGUCCACAUUGCCUCAACCAAGUCAUACAUGUACUUGCGAUGUAAUGCUUGUCAAGUGUGACCAUUGUGGACUCUAGCUUUUCCCUAAACAAUUUCCAAAGUCUCACCUCGGAAUCGGGACAUGGAAUACCACCAAAUAACUGAGAGGCGGGAGGAGAUCCAA
rnacentral:lncRNA from 1 species